rfam:Gymnopus luxurians FD-317 M1 unplaced genomic scaffold GYMLTscaffold_13, whole genome shotgun sequence.
GGCCUGGUAGUUCAGUGGUUAGAGCACCAGUACUGAAAAUCUGGAGGUCCCAGGUUCAAUCCCUGGCCAGUUCA